UCCCUGACUGCUGCCAGUUUGCAGGCCGACAAGGCAUUCAGACGCCAGGCUCUAACUGAGGAGGGCCCUGGUGGGGCCCUCGUCGGAGAGGUGCGCUCCGACUAAGGGCCGUCAAUCUGUCAGUAGCGCUUGAGACUCCUCAGCCUUGUCCAAGGGAAGGCGGGCGGCGCUGCAGGAAGGGGGAGCCCAGUGCUGGAGAGUCCGCUCCACUUCCAGGGACCCACCUGCAACCUGGACGCCCGACCGAACCAGCACAAACCUGAGCGGCCGCAGCUGCUGCAAAGCCCUGUCCUUCCCCGAAGCCCUUCAUUCGUCCAUUAAACAGCCUCCGAACAUGAGAAUGUUUACUUAAGUGUGACACACAGAAGAGUACAAAUCCUAAGGCUCCAGCCCGCUGAGUUUUCAGUGACACACACGCACGCAGUACCUCCAGCUCAGGGCAGAACAGAACCAGACCUCAGGAGCCCCUCACGCCCACUCCCCGCCACUUCUCCCCACGAGGAUAACCUCUUUCCUGGACCCAAGUACCACACAUCACUUCUGCCUGCUUCUGGAUCGGGGAACCUGAGCGUGGACACCAGCUGGCAGCCUGUAGAAAUGGAGAAUCCUAGAUUCCCCCCCCGCCCCCGGGCCUACUCCAUCAAAAUCUCCUGGUGAUCCCUCUGCACAUUCAAGUUCAAGUACAGACGGUCCCAUUUGCAAGUGUUCAAGUGCCAGCUCGGGAGCCCACGGGCACCGGAACGGCCGGCACUCCCUCUUCCAACAGCGUCUGCUCUUCUGCUGGCUGAAGAGUUGAGGGGCGCAGUUGCGCACACCCGGAGUUCUGAAUCUUGUCUUCAGAAGUGGAAUGUCGCCUGGUACCCUGCAGUGUCCCCCAUCACCAAGUGGCUUUAAUUUGCUUGACUCACCUGCUAGACUGAAAGACUCAAGGUCACCUUUAUACCCACAAUGCCUAUGGCUUUUUACGCAGAAUUACCAUCUAAAAGGAACCUUAGAGAGAAUUCUCCUUUAAAAGCUUUUGUUCUCCUCAUCUACAAGAAUUCUGGAAUCAACUGCAUUUUGCAUUUUGUUUUUGUUGGUUUGUCUUCUAGCCGAGGGGCCAGAAGUCAAACCUCUUAUCCUCAGGUCUCGCCCUGUUCUCGUGUCUCUCUUCUCCCACCCUUGCUUUCUACUUUUCACUCGUAUUUUUCUAUUUUGCAUUUCCUUUAAUUUACCUUUACUUCUGUGGAAUGAGAUGAAAUAUAAACAGACUCUAUAUAAAGAAAGAUUCUGUUUUUGAGAAAGAACGGACAACAUGAACUGAACUGAACCGAACUGGAGAUUCCCACUGGGAAAGAAGUGGAGAAAUCAGCCCAAAUUCAUGACCGUUUCUGCCAAUAGCCAGUCCAGGCCUGAGCCAAGAAGGCAGUUGCCGUCUGCGAUGCGAAGGGUGCCACAUGGAAACAGGGCAGGGACUACUCUGCGGACCUGAAGCCUCAAGUCCUGGGGUCCAGAUACCAGCAGGUGCCCGGUAAACAGAACACUACCCGAGAAUGUUCUACUUAACUUUGACUUCCCAAACCCAUUCCUACCAUGCCAUGUGACUGCUAUGUGUUCACAGGGCAGGGGCUGGAGACACAGUAUGCGUGAUGCACCAGGAGGAAUUGCAGAAAAGCUGGUACUCUGAGGAAGCCACCCUGAUGCAAACGCCCCGCCCAUCUCUCUCUCUCUCUCUCUCACACACACAC